rnacentral:lncRNA from 1 species
AAUUUAGCCAGUCUGUAUUUUUCCUAUAUCUGACCAUUCCUUUUGCUGAAAGAAAACUACAUGAAGUGCCACUGACCAUAAAGGGGUAGCUUUUGUUCUUCAUGUACUUAGUUGGUGGCUGAUGUUCAUAUGUCUUCUCUGCUUCAAUUCAAGCAAAUACCGUGAUUGAAUUGGCAAAUUAACAUGACAAUGUCAAUGUCAAGACCUAUUACAAUAAAGUGAGAAAGAUCUUAUUUGCAGAGUAGUUUCUUAACAGCCUGGUUAUGGAGGAGCACUUUCCCCUCUGGAACUGCAUAGGUCAUGUAAUCACAAGGAAAAGUCUGUGGUGAUUAAUUUGUUCAUCUAUUUUCAUGCUUUUUUUUUUUCAAAAGAAUUCCUGAGAAGACAACAGAAGUGUCAUUUAUCCAGCUCCCAUCACAAUCCCUUAGCUGAUUUUUUAAAGAAGUUCCUAGAAACGCUGUUUUUCAUUCCUACAGUUUUGUUUGGUGACUUUAACUGAGGCAGACUGGAACAGGCAAUAAACUUCAAAAUCUUCAAAACCCUUCCCUUCCCUUUCCUUUUCUUUUCUUAAGAGGAGGAUGUGAUUUGGCCAUGUGAGGAUCUCUCACCUGGCUUUGUGGAGCUUUCAGCUGGUUUUGAGGGCCACAUCCUGUUCCAGCUAUACCUGCAAAAGGUUUGUUAACACAAUUUCAUUGUGCUCAGCUGUGUGUCAGAGUUGCUUUUUAAUGCCCUCACUUAAUCAUAAGGAUAUUUAAAUGGUUCUUUCUCCUGAUUAUGAGGACUUGCAUGUUUGCUGAUUCCCAUGAUCCUUAAUCUGAGAAAUAUCCUUGUCAAGUCAAAGGAGCUGCAGUGUCUAUACUUAAAUGGAGUGACAAAAUGGAUCCUCAACAUUUAUACGAGUGAUAUAGCUGGACUGCAGGUUCUAGAAAGAUAUUUUCCAUUUUAUCAUGGCUGAAAAACCAAAUGUAAAUGCUGGUGCUUUAUAGUGCUGAGACUGCUGCAGGAGAACAUUGGUGGGGAAGUUUGCCUGUGAAUUUUCAGAAAGGCUGAAGAUAUGCAGUGCUGGUAAACCUGAGCCAUCACCUGACUCCUCAUUUCAGAAAAGCGUUCCAAGUUUAUCAUCAUUCCCCAUGAAGGUAAUUGAUUAAUUAUAAAAUCAGAUGCUUAGAAUGGUUAUUUGAGGCCUUAUAAAAUUGGAAUAAAAUCAAAUAGGAAAGAUUCA